rnacentral:lncRNA from 1 species
ACACACACACACUCACACACGCAUGGAAGGGAAAGAGAGAAACUCUCCUUUCUCUCUCUAAAUCUCUUCCAAAAUAGAUGGAUUUGGUGGAGAUUGAAGCUUGGAGGUGAAUCGCCUUCGUCUUCUUCAUCUUCUCCACCUUGAGGGCAAGCUUGAGAGGUAAGCUUUUGCUACCCUUUAAUGGUAGAUCCUUAAUGGUUGGUUUAAAUACCUUAUAAAUGGAUUUAGAGGAAUUCUAGCAUGCUAACUAGAUGAAUGAUGAUUCAUUCAUGAAGGAAUUUGGUGGAUUUUUAUCUAGAUGCAACCUAGGGCUUCAAAAUAAAAUUUUUGUAAAUAUGAGGGUUUGAUCUCAUUUGACCCUCUGUAAACCGAAUUGAUAGGUCACUGAACGCGUUGGAAGCGACGGUUCGGCGAUUCGUCGAGCCGGUGAGAAGUUAUUAAAGAAACGGACGUUUAGGCUUCGUUUCCGCCUGGAGGGCCGAAACGACGUCGUAAAAUCAUAGAAAUGGAUUUGAGGCAUCGUGGCACAUAACCGAAGAUCUAUAAUUUUCGGAGCUGCGAAGCGGAGCACGGUUGAGGCGCAGUUGCGAUAUCGGGCCGUGCCGAAUACGGGUGCCGCGGGAGGCCGAUUGCAAGUGUCGACAAGCAAUCGGAACGCGAGUUAAGGUGGGUUGUGCUUACCGAAGCGACUAGGUCGCCUUUAUGUCUAAGCAAAUUAAGAAUCCAUGUUGAUGCAUAUAGAUGUAAAUGAAGUAUGAAAAUAAUGCAUGUUAAUGUAAAUGCCAAGUAGAAAUGCGUAAUGAUAAGAUGCAAGUUACAUAAUGCUAGAUGAAUGCAUGAGUUAAUUGUUAUAUGAAUGCAUGAAAAUAAUAUUAUAGUAAUAUGUUAGAGGUAAUAUGCAUGUUGAUAAAUUAUGGAACAUGUUGGAUGGCAUAUGAAUGGUUGGCAUAUAUAUGUAGACAUAUUGUGGAAUAUGAUAAAUGAGUGCAUGUUGAUUUAUUGUAGAAUAUACUAGAUGAAUGUAUAUUGACAUAUUGUGGAUUAUGUUAAAUGACACAUGCAUGUUGAACUUGGGUCGAUAAACUCUAGGUGAAUUAGAGAACUCGACAUUGGAAAACAAUGACAUAUGAACUAUGAUAUGUGACGUGGACAAUCUAUAUAUAUUAGAUCGAGUGGCAUAUGAUUAGUAUAGUGGAAACACUUAUGGCAUGUUGAACACUUAGAAAACAAGUGUGGCAUGAGUCCAAGAAUAUAGUAGUGUAUAUGACACAAGUGAUAGUAAAGAAUGCAAAGAAAAGAAUGAUGGAAAUAUUAUGACAUUUCAACCCUAGAGUUAGGGUCAUUUGAGCAUAGUCUUCCUAAAGUUAAGGAAUGGAUUGAACUUGACAUCCUCAAGAUUUUGGAUUUGAUCAUUGAUCAUACUCACCUUUAGUCCUUGCUCGAGGUUGUGGUAGCUCCCCCUCGGGCGAUGUGCUCCGGAGUCGACAUCACUGGGUUGUAGCGGUUAUCUCCCCAGAGGACGGUCCCACCGGGUUGUAGCGGGUAUCUCCCCGGUUAAUGGGAUUUUGGGUUGGUGAGUUUGUUGAGGGCGAAACCUUCGGGUUAGCCAAGUGAUUGGGUAAUAAACUUAUGAGCUAUAGUGAUGUCCUAGUUGAGGGGAUUUAAGGCCGAGGUGCAAGUGAGACGUCCUUCGCCUCGGGCCUGGCUUUGUGCGGUACUCCGCAGACGAUUGACUCAAGACCGAGUCGGGCGGUUAGCUUUGUAAAGAUAGAUGAAACUUUAUGAUUAAAAUGGUAAAUGACAGAAAACCUUAAAUGUCAAUUGGAUGAAAGUAGUAAUCGAUUGAAUUACUAGUUGAUUGUAUAGUCGCAUCAUUGCAUGAUCUUCAUAUUGCAUUCGUGAGGCAAUGCAUGGUUUUAUUCGUUGCAUAAUCAAGAUAUAUAUCUAUCUGUUUAUUGAACUAACUUGCAGUUGCCUCCCUUGGACCUAUUGGUCGAGCUUUUCCCUUGGGUGGCCGUACCCACUGGGAACCAUGGAGUUGGUUCUCACCCCACGUGGUUUUGGGGUGUUACAGGUUCACACGUGAGCGGCGCGGCGGCGCGAGGCGAGGGCGUAGCAUCAUAGUUAGCGCCCUACCACCGAGACCAGAGAUAGCGGUACCCUGAGUCGGCUUUGCUUAGGGUUGUAGAAAAUGAAAAGAAUCAAGUUGUAAUAAUCAUGUUAAAUCGGAUUGUAUUUGGAAGUUGAAUGUAAUAAGUAUUUGGGAUGUAAAAUGUAUGAAUGUGAAUGCUUGUAAUAACAAGUAGAUUAUGUUUUUGAUACUUCCUUAUGCAAUCUUUGAUUGAAAUGUGUUCCUGGUUGGAACUUUGUACAUUGUAUUGAUUGCGACGCCUUGAAUGUACAGGGGAGACUCUGUCCGCGGUACAGGGGAAACCCUGUCCGUUCGGCGGUCUGUCGGCGUGCCCGAAACCGACCAAAUAAGCGGUCGCGGGGCGUGACAGCUUACCACCAAACCAUCCCUCCUCCACACCCCGCCCACCUCCCAUCUUGCCCACCUCGCCCACUCGCCCCCUCGCUUGCUCGCUCGCUUGCUGGCUCGCUCGCCCCCUCACCUACUUCUCAGGUUUGAUUCUUUCUUUUUCUUUCUUUUAGUUGUUUGGUGAAUAAAUUAUAGGAAAAAAAUAUUAUUUGGUGAAACAAAUUACAGAAAAAAAAUGUUGUUCUGUUUUUAAAAAAUCUGAAAAAAAAAUCUAAUUUUAUUAUACAAAAUCUGAAUUUAUUAUAAAAUCUGAUUUUAUUAUACAAAAUCUGAUUUUCAAAAAUCUGAUUUUAUUUUAAAAUAUGAUUUUAUUACAAAAUCUGAAUUUAUUAUAAAAUCUGAUUUUUUUAUAUCAGGACACAAGUUCGAAGCACUUGCCUAAUUCCUCGUCGCAGUUUUCUUCAUCAAUACUUUCAUUGUCCGAGCUAUCAAAAGUUGGUGAAUCAUGAUAAUCCUCACUAUCCAUCUAUAUAAUUUAACAAAUUUUAAAUUAAUAAUAAAACUAUUAAUCAUGCAAUUUACUAAUAAAUCCAUAAAGACUAAAUCAU